rnacentral:rRNA from 1 species
GACGAACGCUGGCGGCGUGCUUAACACAUGCAAGUCGAGCGGUAAGGCCCUUUCGGGGGUACACGAGCGGCGAACGGGUGAGUAACACGUGGGUGACCUGCCCUUAGCUCUGGGAUAAGCCUGGGAAACUGGGUCUAAUACCGGAUAUGACUCCAUGACGCAUGUUGUGGGGUGGAAAGCCUUGUGCGGCUAGGGAUGGGCCUGCGGCCUAUCAGCUUGUUGGUGGGGUGAUGGCCUACCAAGGCGACGACGGGUAGCCGGCCUGAGAGGGCGACCGGCCACACUGGGACUGAGACACGGCCCAGACUCCUACGGGAGGCAGCAGUGGGGAAUCUUGCGCAAUGGGCGAAAGCCUGACGCAGCGACGCCG